AACGCUCACACCACCACGCCGUACGCUGCGUUAGCGGAAGUUUAAUGGCCCCAUUGGUGGGAUGCGUGGCCAAUAAAGGGCAAGAAUAAGGCGGAUUCCGCCUUCCUCGUGGCUGACUGGAUGCAUCCGCUGGUACUGAUUUACGAAGAGAAUGAUCAUGAAGGGCAAAUGGCAGUGAAGCAAGAAGAGCUGGCUUCAGGCUCAGAAGAGAAUGCUGUGCCUCUUCCUCAUGGUUUGCGGUGCCCUGCAUGUUCAGAGAAACUUCUCUAGUAAUGAAUGAACUAUAGAAAUGAUCCCUGAAAAUAUGGUCUUGAUACUUUA
ensembl:lncRNA novel transcript